UAGGGAAUCUUCCGCAAUGGACGCAAGUCUGACGGAGCAACGCCGCGUGAGUGAAGAAGGAUUUCGGUUCGUAAAACUCUGUUGUUAGAGAAGAACAGCGCAUAGAGUAACUGUUAUGCGUGUGACGGUAUCUAACCAGAAAGCCUCGGCUAACUACGUGCCAGUAGCCGCGGUAAUACGUAGGUGGCAAGCGUUGUCCGGAUUUAUUGGGCGUAAAGCGAGCGCAGGCGGUCAAUUAAGUCUGAUGUGAAAGCCCCCGGCUCAACCGGGGAGGGUCAUUGGAAACUGGUUGACUUGAGUGCAGAAGAGGAGAGUGGAGUUCCAUGUGUAGCGGUGAAAUGCGUAGAUAUAUGGAGGAACACCAGUGGCGAAGGCGACUCUCUGGUCUGUAACUGACGCUGAGGUUCGAAAGCGUGGGUAGCAAACAGG
rnacentral:rRNA from 1 species